rnacentral:rRNA from 1 species
UACGGAGGGUGCAAACGUUGCUCGGAAUCAUUGGGCGUAAAGCGCACGUAGGCGGCCUGUUAAGUCGGGUGUGAAAGCCCUGGGCUCAACCCAGGAAGUGCACUCGAAACUGGCGGGCUUGAAUAUGGAAGAGGGUCGCGGAAUUCCCGGUGUAGAGGUGAAAUUCGUAGAUAUCGGGAGGAACACCAGUGGCGAAGGCGGCGACCUGGGCCAAUACUGACGCUCAUGCACGAAAGCGUGGGGAGCAAACAGG